CUUUUUUAAGUAAGCAUUAGCACUGGAAUAAAAUCUUUUUUAGUUUAAAAAAAAGUAAGCAUUAGCACUCUACUGGUCCGUGUAGCCCAGCCGCGGGCAAAGAACAUGGCCCUUGCCUCUGAAGAAAAGCCCUUACGCAAUCCGGGAUUCGGAAGGAGCUCAUCAUCCUGUCGAGUUCUCAGUCCCACCAAAAUGCAACCCCUCAGUUUUGUUGACCCAGUUAAAAGGAAAUACUCUCUCUUAUGUCUCAAAAUCAAAAUAGUAUCAGAAAACGUCUUACAUUUUGAGACUGAGGGAGCACUAAAGUCGUCUAGAAAAGAAACCAGUUCAAUCAAAUUUCCCUCAACCGUCCGAUCUACAUCCCACAGCCAGAGUCAUAUUCUUCCUCCUCCCGUGUCUGCCCGUAGACUCACCCUUCGACGCCCGCUGAAGUGUCGGCUCCCGCAUCCCCGUCUCACCUUCGGAGGCACCCUUCGACGCCCGCUGAAGUGUCGGCUCCCGCAUCCCCGUCUCACCUUCGGAGGCUCCGCAGAUUCGACUGGCGCCUGAAUGUUUUUCGGACGCCUAAAGAAUAGCAAACGCGCAAUAAGUAUCAUUAUAUGCCAUCACAUAGAAAGUGAUCCGCUCAGUAUCCAGUCUCCAUGAAUGUUGCCCUUCCUGCACCAAGUUCCAAAUUGGGGACUCAGUUGAACGAAGUCAGCAGAAUGGAAGCGAUGCCCAUGAUUAAAGUAGCACACACAACACCAUAUUGGGUACACAUGUAGUAGGUGUUUGGAUGGAGACUUGCAGUGUGAGAAGUGUACCCUUGGAGCGACCUCAAGGAUCCCAAGACUGGAGAUGCGCAUAUGCACAAAAUUUUAACACCAAGUCAGGCACUGGAAAGCUACCAUAUCAUCCUGCAACAAAAGAGUUCAUUACAUACAAAAGUUAUUUAAAAUUAAAGCUGACAAACAUAUGAAAACCUGAGGACCCAGUCAGGCAGUGGAAGUCUGCAAGCUAAUGAACAAGAAAUCACGCAAACUAAGGUGCAUCAUCAGACAAAACAAAAACAAAAACAUAAAGCUCUAAGCAACGAUUUACUCCCUCCGUCCCAAAAUCAGUGUCGUUGUUUUAGUUUAAAUUGAACAGAUUUGAAGUAAAACCACGACACUUGUUUUGGGAUGGAGGGAGUACAAAACAUUUCACUGCGGCACAUUGCUCUGGGAUGAAGGAGAGUGGCCGCCUUGUGGUGCGUGGGCAUAAAGUGCAUCAUCCGUCACCAGUUCAGCUUCAGCAUACAGUUCAGCCACCCUUGCCACCAGUUCAGCUUCAGCAUACAGUUCCUCUCCACUUAGUUCUUCUCCAGCAGACCUGACCUGCCACACAUCACCCAUCCACUUCUGGGCAACAACAAAUCAGUGCAUUAUGAUCUCUCAAUCGUUUUCAGUACCGAAAGAAUAUUGUACCAGAUGUCUUCCAAAUACUCGUACUGCAUGGCAGCAUGAGUUCUAAAUGGCAGCAUAAGCUUAAUUAUAAGCUAAGGUCAAAUGUUAGAAUCCAGCAUAAAUUGCCCAAUAAAUUUCAUCUUUUUUCCCUGUUAGCUCAAAGUCGGUACUAUUACUUCUAAGGCUGCUAUAACACCCCUUCACGGUGAUUCGGUUCGAGUGGAGAUGGCAUGGAAAUUCAAAGCACUCGCUUUGCAGUUUCAAAUAUGGCCGAUGGCGAGGGCUAGGAAUCAUAGAGUGGUGAAACCCAAGUGGAAAAGGGAGGCUCGUCGGCCCACCACUCAGGGUGUGUGCCUCCAUGUCCAUGGUCGGUGGGCACUGCCGGCAAGCAACUAGGAGGCCUUUUUGCAAAUCUAGUAACAAGAAAAGGCUUGCCAGCCAACAGUUAUGGUGUUCCAACUUUCCCAGCAAACAGGAUUUUCACCCAGGUCCUGUCAUGCACUAAAUAUUUUUGGGGAGUGCCUAGAACUCAUUUAGAUAAGAUAUAAUUUGGUCUCAUUCACCUUGAAAACAAGAAAAGGUACAACCCACGUCAACACACACGCAUCUUAUAGCAUCACAUCCAAUGGCUAUAAAAGGUGAAUGAGACCAAACUAUAUCUCAUCUAGAUGAGUUCUAGCAAAACUAAUAUUUUUGACAGCAAUAUGUUAGGCAGAGAUCUGACAGAAGAAAGUGCCCGUGCGCCGUGCGUGUGUACGUGUCGUGCCAUGGCUGGUUCUGAAAGGCAACUUUAAUCGACCAAAAAAUCAAAAACGAUUCAGAAAAAGCAUCACUGAUCUGGUCCGCUGCCGCCGGUCACUGCAAACUCUCACUCAGCGUUAAAGGGAAAAGGGUGUGACUUUUUCCAGCCACUGUGCUGUUCCAACAUAGGUCUUCUUCAAGAUGCAGCCCCCAGCUAAUAAUGAGAGAUCCCCUGAUGAUUCGAACUCCAAGUGGCAUGCAUGUAAACCUCAAAAGUUCAUUCAUGGCCAGAAACCCCACCACUACCAUUUCUACUGUGUGCAAACCUGCUGUGGGGCGCAUAAAAUUAGGACGCACUAGAUUUUGAUGUGGGCGAACCAGCUAACACAAUGACCUGAUAGGCACUAAAAACGCUGCCCUCCCUGUUGAGUAUCUACCAGUUCAUAUCCAUGUACUCAACUUCCAUUUCCAUUGUUCAAGAACUAUGAAAAGAUCACAGUAAAGUGUCCCAUGAAAAUGAUAGGCACCUUAAAUCUUUCCACUGUACCUACAAACCACACUAAUAACACUGUCCACUUAUCAACUGAACAAGCUUGCCAAUGUAACCAGUGCACAGUGCACAUAUCACAUAUGCAAAUAUUGUGUUGGAAAAAAAACAUGGUUUGCCAGUGAUUGUUUUCAGAAGUCAGAUUUACCUUAAUGUGGUUGCGGCGAGUAAGUGUAUGGCUUGAGAAUAUAUGAUCAAGUCGUGACAAUACGACGGAUAAGUGCAUUUUUGGAAGACAAAAGAAAAAUAAGAAUCCAAAUCUGCAAAAGUAAAGGUAUAUGGUCAGUAUGAUGAUGUUAAAGUAGAUAGCCACAUAACUAAUGUCCAUGUCAAUUGUCAAUAUUAUAGGAUAAAGAAGAGUAAUGGCCUUCAGGACGCUUACCACUUUGAUUCUGAACCACUAUUCCGGCCAGGAUCAACUAACAUGGAAGGAUAGGAUGACUUAGUUCUGAGAAUGAAAAAAUGAAUCCAAUAUUGUAUGAACACAUACUUGGAUCAACUUUCAGUGACUAUCAUUGUCCAUGAUCAAUUGACGCCAUAGGGGUAAAUAAUGAGCCGAAAUAUUGAUGGAACAAACAUGAUUUCAUACUUAAAGUGACGCUGUUAUAUUCCUCCGAUGCUGAUGUUUACGAGGUCUCUAGGUUUUCAGAACAAAGGCUUCCUGCCUAUCAUUUACUCCCUCCAUCCCAUAAUGUAAGACGUUUUUUGACACUACACUAGAGCCAAAAAACGUCUUACAUUAUGGGACGGAGGGAGUAUUUAUCAACUAAAGUUGCUGUUUAUUCCCUGCAACGCUUUUGACUACCACUGACAGCUUAUGUGCUCAAUUUUCUGGGCACAGUAUGUAGGGAGGGUAAAUUUACAUAUAUUGAUGAAUAUGAUAACCCAUUUUACAAAUGCUGAGCUAGAUGUCUAAGAUAAGCUAGGUUCAACUUUGAGGUGGCAACAUUAGAUGUUUAUAAUCAAUGGAGGAACGGCCGAGCAGUAUGUAAACAAACAGACUGGAGUAUACAUACCAGUGCUGCAUUAGUAUAUUUUUUACUGUACUUGUGCAUAGGAUCAUAGGCAUUUCUUCCAAAAAGGGAGUAUCACACAGGCAUUUCUGAAUAUUCUUCUAGUGAGAAUGCAGUUUUGAAAUGAAAAGGAGAGUUGUACAUACAGAAGUUUGAAACCAAAAUAAAACUCACUUAUGUGUCUUCGAAUUUGAUGUACUUGUCACAAGAAAUUAAGGAUUAGAAUUGUUAGCUCAUCAAGAAACUAGGUCAUCUUAAGCUAUUGAUACUUUCCUAUUUUUCCUUCUUAUGUGAAGUUGUGAACUAAAUUUGUGGUUCACACUCCAAUAGUCUGGUAUUAACCGUGCUUGAAACAAAAACAGGUGGGUGAGCGUGGUGUCCAAAUGUCCGGAGGGCAGAAGCAGAGGAUUGCUAUUGCCAGAGCAAUCCUGAAGUCACCCAAGAUCCUCCUCCUUGAUGAAGCCACCAGUGCAUUGGAUACUGAGUCAGAGCGUGUCGUACAGGAGGCACUCGACCUGGCCUCUGUAGGCCGGACGACUAUCGUCGUUGCACAUCGCCUCUCCACUAUCCGCAAUGCUGACAUGAUUGCUGUCAUGCAGUACGGCGAGGUCAAGGAGCUGGGCUCCCAUGAAGAGCUCAUCGCCGAUGAGAAUGGCCUCUACUCAUCUCUAGUUCGCCUUCAGCAGACUAGAGAAUCGAAUGAGGUUGAUGAGGUCAGUGGAGCCGGCAGUACUUCUGCCGUGGGGCAGUCCAGUAGCCACAGCAUGAGCAGGAGAUUCUCCGCGGCUAGCAGGUCAAGCUCAGCCCGUUCAUUGGGUGAUGCAGGCGAUGCUGACCACACUGAGGAGGCAAAGCUUCCACUGCCGUCCUUCAGAAGGCUGCUUAUGCUUAAUUCACCAGAGUGGAGGCAGGCGCUUAUGGGAGGCUUCAGUGCAAUUGUGUUCGGAGGCAUCCAGCCUGCUUAUGCAUACGCCAUGGGAAGCAUGAUCUCAGUCUACUUCUUGACCGAUCACGACGAGAUCAGGGACAAAACAAGGGCCUACGCUCUCAUCUUUGUCGCCCUUGCAGUGCUCUCGUUCUUGAUCAAUAUUGGACAGCAUUACAACUUUGGUGCUAUGGGAGAAUACCUCACCAAGAGGAUCAGGGAACAGAUGCUAACAAAAAUCCUCACUUUCGAGAUCGGAUGGUUUGACCGUGAUGAAAACUCCAGCGGUGCCAUAUGCUCACAGCUUGCCAAGGACGCCAACGUGGUAAGUACUAGACAGAAAUUAAGCAUGUUGAUACUUCAAUGGAAAUUCAUCUAACCUUGCAUAAUGAUUUUGUGUUUUGUUACAGGUGAGGUCUCUAGUGGGUGACCGUAUGGCGCUGGUGAUCCAAACAGUUUCUGCGGUGCUUAUUGCUUGCACCAUGGGUCUGGUCAUUGCCUGGCGCCUGGCCCUUGUCAUGAUAGCAGUGCAGCCUCUCAUCAUCGUCUGCUUCUAUGCUCGUCGUGUCUUACUCAAGAGCAUGUCCAAGAAAUCAAUACAGGCACAAUCCGAAAGUAGCAAGCUAGCUGCUGAGGCUGUCUCCAAUCUACGCACAAUCACGGCCUUCUCAUCCCAGGACCGCAUCUUAGGCCUCUUCAACCAAGCACAGAACGGCCCACGGAAGGAAAGCAUCCGGCAGUCGUGGAUUGCAGGCCUUGGCCUUGGCACUUCCAUGAGCCUGAUGACAUGCACAUGGGCCCUGGAUUUCUGGUUUGGUGGCCGGCUCAUAGCUCAGCACCACAUUACUGCCAAGGCACUCUUCCAGACCUUCAUGAUUCUAGUAAGCACAGGGCGUGUGAUUGCUGAUGCAGGUAGCAUGACAACAGACCUAGCUAAGGGUUCUGAUGCAAUCGCCUCGGUGUUUGCUGUUCUCGACCGGGUAACAGAAAUCGACCCUGACAACCCUGAAGGAUACAAGCCAGAGAAGCUUAAAGGUGAAGUGGACAUCAGAGGAGUCGACUUUGCAUACCCGUCGAGGCCAGAUGUGAUCAUCUUCAAAGGAUUCUCUUUAAGCAUCCAAUCAGGCAAGUCAACAGCCCUGGUUGGGCAAAGUGGCUCUGGCAAGUCGACCAUCAUUGGGCUUAUAGAGCGAUUCUAUGACCCGGUGAGGGGAAUGGUAAAAAUUGAUGGCAGAGACAUCAAAACAUAUAAUCUUCGAGCCCUGCGGCGGCACAUUGGACUGGUCAGCCAGGAGCCAACGCUAUUUGCUGGCACAAUCAGAGAGAACAUUGUGUAUGGCACAGAAACAGCAAGUGAGGCAGAAAUUGAGAAUGCAGCAAGGUCCGCCAAUGCACAUGACUUCAUCAGCAACCUCAAGGAUGGAUAUGACACAUGGUGUGGCGAGAGAGGUGUUCAGCUGUCAGGAGGGCAGAAGCAGCGCAUUGCUAUUGCCCGUGCCAUCCUGAAGAACCCGGCCAUCUUGCUACUAGAUGAGGCUACCAGUGCACUGGACAGCCAGUCCGAAAAGGUGGUACAGGAGGCACUGGACAGAGUGAUGGUUGGCAGGACAAGUGUGGUGGUGGCACACAGGCUCAGCACAAUCCAAAACUGUGACCUCAUCACUGUGCUCGACAAAGGAAUUGUUGUGGAGAAGGGCACACACUCAUCCCUCAUGUCAAAGGGUCCCUCUGGAACAUAUUAUAGCUUGGUUAGUUUGCAACAAGGAGGCAACCAGAACUAAGUAUUUCCAUGAGAAUAGAGCACUCGUAUUUGAAUUAGAACUGUAAGCAAGGAUGGCAAUCAGAUCAUCUAAACUUACGGCGACAAUGGGCUAUUUUUCCUCCUGUUGCACUAUCGGUAUAUAGAAGUGUACCAAGCUUGUAGUUUAUUCAUAUAACUGCUGGAUAUGUAUUGCAGUGAUGCAAAGGUCAAGAAAUCUAAGAUAAGCAGUAUAGUAGGUUUCUAGGUUGUAUCUGUAUUUAUUUUUCUGUCUCCUAAUUAUUCAAAACCACUAUACUUAUUCACAACACGGAUUUGUACCGGCACGAGCUAAGUUUCACAAUUCAAAAGUAGGAACAAACAUUAAUUAAAGUUUUAUAUCUUUGACCCAGAUGUGGAUUGACAAGGAACGCAAGGAAACAAAUAAAUGAGGUCUACAAUCCAUAGAGCGGUAAUAAUACGACAAAGUCAUAAGAACAGAGAAGAGACAAGUAUGUGGUUGCAAUUUUUCUAUGUUAGUAUCAAAAUGUUAAAAGACCAGCAAUUUUUAUGAGAUGUGAGCAUGAGUAGAUCCAGUGCGUAGUCUAUGGGAGGUAUCCCCACUCCCUCCCCCAAAUAAUUUGCAAAACUCACUAGUUCAUAUACAUGUAUGUCAAAUUUAGUCUAGCGCAACACCUCAAACAAACCACUAAUGUCGUUGAGGAUUUCAGCACACAAAUACCAGCUUUAUUUGGACAAUUGACUUGAUGAAAUACAACACUAUUGCUAAUUCUAAAUAGAUUAUUAGUGUCACUUUUACUAACAUAACCCUGCAACUUCUUGUAUCAACACUUGUUUAUCUGCUACUCUGUUGUACCUAGCUAGUUGGGGUUAUAUCAGAUACAAUAGAGCCAGUUACUUCUCUUGGAUCUUGCUUUAAGUAUUGCAAUCAUCCAAUUCUAAGACCAUUGUUGGACAGGUGGGCAGAAUAGAGCAAGAACUUUGAGGAGUACUUUGAAGGGCUGGAAUAUUAAUUAUAAGUGUUUCUUAAAAAAACAGUAUCCAUAGAUACAGUGAGGUAAAUGGUCUAGAUUUGACUAAUUUUAAUCUGAGAAAGCAGUUGAGUGAACAGUGCAUUAUGAAAGAGGAGCAGGUCAAGUGGUUUCAGAGUGCUAAGAUGACUGAGUUUCUUAAAGGAGAUUCUCUCACUUCCUAUUUUAUUUCUAAAGCUAGUGGUAAGAAUAGGAAAAACAAGAUUUACUACAAACCUCUAAAACUUAUAUAAUCACUGAAUAUCAGAUUGCAUAUAUAAUUGAGCAUCACAUUGCAUUAUAUAAUUGAGCAUCACAUGUGUAUUUCUUUGCAUCAGGAAGAGGUGAUUGUACAGGGCGGUGAGGAGAUUUUGAUAUGCUACUAAUUUUCUUAAAAAUAGUUUGGCCUUGUAGAAGAUAGUGUGCAUAUUUCUAUAGAGGUUCCUUUGCAAAAUGUUCUAGAGGAUUGUGAUAGAGCCAAAUUACAUGCACCUUUUACUGUAGAGGAAGUUAAAAAUGCUACUUUUCAAAUGAAAUGUAAUAAGGCUCCUGGCCUAGAUAGUUUCCCUAUAGAGUUUUAUCAGCACUAUUGGCCUUUGAUUAGUACAGAUAUUAUGAGUUUGUUUGACGGUUUUUAUCUAGGUAAAUUAGGUCUUGCUUGUAUUAAUUAGAAGAUGCUCUAAGACCAUUUAGCAGAAAUAUCGAAAUAGAAGUAAAGAUUACUAAUUUGGUCUUGUGAGCAACCAUGUUAUUUUGGUUAAAAGCUAUUUAGUAUCCCCAGUUCCCAUCUUGUAAUGGCUAACUUUGGAUCUUGGCUUCUUUUAUGGAGGGCCUAGAUCACCAAGAUAGUAGUAGCUUUCUGUAUUUAUAUUCUGUCUGCUCUAGGAUAGUAGUUAUGGGUGGGCACAACAUCUGCAGUUUCGUCUAGAAAAUCUAACUCGUGGAAAGCUUGCAAAUUCCCUAAAGUUAGGCAGGCCCAAAGUUUCACGAACAAGUGAGCUACUAGCAGCUAAGCUAAGGUUCAGUCAAACUGCGGUCACUACUAUCUUUCACCACUGCUUAGGUUUUGCUGAUGGAAUCAAUAAUAAACUAGAGCAGACAUGCUUGCUUUCUCUCUAUUUUGGGGUACAUUUACCAAAAAGGCUUUCGCCCCGCUUUAUAUUAUAAAGCCAACCGCACCACAAGCAUCCAAUAAGGUCCAACACAAAACCACGCACACACACACGAAAGCCCACAGGAACAAAAGGUACAAGAAAGGGUCAAUGCUGAGGGCACAGCACAACAAGCCCUAAACCCAAAACACACACGCCAUACAGCCGCCAGGCGGUCUAGUCAGGCUCAGGAGGAGGAGGUGGCAGCGGGGGAGCCACGCGGAGCGCCAUCGAGCGGAGAUCGGAGAGGAGGGUGGUGAUGACGUCCCGGUCCUGGGGGCGGCUAAGCGGCCGCCAAAGCUGCAGGUAGCCACACAAUUUGAAGAUUGCGUCAUUCGCACGUCGGAGAGGCACCUUCUGAAUAACAAGCUUAUUGCGAAUGUUCCAAAGCGUCCAGGCGAGAACCCCAACGCACAACCAUCUAAUAUGGCGGUAGCGAGUAGGGGAAGCAUUGAGCUCGGCAAGCAGGUCGGGGAAGUUGGUAUUACACCACUGUCCGCCAACCGUUUCGCGGAAGCAGACCCAAAGGAACUGGGCCGAGUGGCACGAGCAAAAGAUGUGGUUAGCAUCCUCAAUCGUGCCACAGAUGGGGCACAUCCCAUCACCCGGGCCAUUACGCUUGAGGACUUCAAGCCCAGAGGGGAGGCGUCCACGGAUCCAUUGCCACAGGAAGACCCUGAUUUUCAGCGGAAGUCGGAUGUCCCAGAUCAGGCUAAAUGGUUCCGGGGCCAUCGAGGGAGCAAUGGCGCCGUACAGAGACUUCGUGGAGAAGCGGCCAGAGGGCUCGAGGCGCCAGGAAAGAACAUCCCGGUCCUCCUCGAUGUUAAUCGGCAUAAGUGCGAUGUCUUGGAGGAGGGAGUCCCAGGCGGCCACCUCGAGGGGGCCAAAGGGGCGCCGGAAGGCGAGACGCCCUAAGUCAAUAAGGGCCGUCUCGACAGAGACCCGAGGGCCAGCCGCAAUGGCAAAUAGUUCUAGGAAUCGCGCAGCCAGGGGGGAGUCCCCAAGCCAGCGGUCGAACCAGAACAAGGUCGAGGCCCCGGAGCCAACCGAGAUGGAUGUGCCGAUGCGUAGUACGGGCAGAAGCUGGAUCACGGACUGCCAGAACUGGGAUCCACCCGUACGUUGGCAAAAGGCAUGAGGUUGGCCACGGAGGUACUGAUUACGGAUGAUGGUGAGCAUGAGGCCUCCCUCCCCAUUGGCAAUACGCCACAGCCAUCGGGUCAGGAGGGCAAUGUUCAUGCGUCGGGAUGACAGGAUCCCAAGGCCACCCUGGUCUUUGGGUUUGCAGAUGUCGGGCCAGCUCACCAUAUGGUACUUCUGCUUGUCGCCCUCACCAGCCCAGAAGAACCUCGACUGGUAUUUGGCCAUCUCCUGAUGGAGGGUCUCAUGAAGGCUGUAGAAGCUCAUGAGAAACCAGAGAAGGCUGGCAAGCGAGGAGUUGAUUAGAAUCACCCUGGCAGCUUUCGACAGCCAGCGUCCCCUCCAGGGUUCAACCCUGUGCUGCAUCCUAGUCACCGUCGGGCGGAGAUCCGCGACGGUGAGUCUGGAGUCACUAAUGGGCACCCCCAAGUAAGUCGUGGGGAAGGAGCCCAGGCGGCAGUUCAACCGGUCCGCAAUGGACAAAGCAUCGUCCGGGGGGUAGCCGAGGACCAUCACUUCGCUCUUGUCGAAGUUGAUGGUGAGGCCGGACAUCUCUUGGAAGCACAGGAGGAGGAACUUCAGGUUGGCGAUGUCGGACGCGGAGCCCUCCACCAUGAGUAUGGUGUCGUCCGCGUAUUGGAGGAGGGAAACCCCUCCUCCGUCCACUAGGUGGGGGACAACGCCCCGGAUAUGGCCGCAGGCUUUGGCCUUAUCAAGGAUGACCGUAAGGGCAUCGACAACCAUGUUAAAAAGGAAUGGGGAGAACGGGUCACCCUGGCGCACCCCACAUAGGGUGGGGAAGUAGGGACCGAUCUCGCCGUUAAUGUUGAUCGCCGUCCGACCGCAGGUGACGAGUUGCAUAACGCGGGUCACCGAGCGGUCGUCAAAGCCCUUCCGAAGCAAUACUUCCCGAAGGAAGGGCCAGUGGACCGUGUCGUAGGCCUUAUGGAAGUCGAGCUUAAGGAACACCGCGCGGUGGUGCUUGGAUCGGACUUCGUGGAGGACUUCGUGAAAGACCAACACCCCAUCCAAAAUAAAUCGGCCUUGAAUGAAGGCGGAUUGGUUGGGGUGGGUGAAAGAGUCCGCAAGAAGGGUCACCCUAUUGGCGUAUCCUUUGGCCAGGAUCCUGAAGAUCACGUUAAUCACGGUGAUCGGGCGGAACUGGCGGAUGUACGAGGCCCCCGGAACCUUUGGGGAUGAGGGUAAUGAUCCCAUAGUUCAGGCGCCCCAGGUCCAUGGUCCCAGAGAAGAACUCGUCGAAGAGGUCCAUGACCUCCGGUUUAAUGGAUUGCCAGAAUGUUUUAAAAAACAGGAUUGGCAAUCCAUCCGGGCCCGGAGCCGAGGAGGGGUUCAUUCCAUUGAUCGCCGCAAGGACCUCCUCCUGCGAGAAAGGCGCCACCAAAGCGGCAUUUGCCUCGGCGGAGACAAGCUGGGCACCCGACCAGGUAUCGGGGGCCAGCACAGCCCCACCCCGAGGGGUGGGGGUGAAAAGGGCUUUAUAGAAGCCGUCUACAUGGGCACGGAUGUCCGAGGGUCGAACAAGCUGAGUAUCACCUUCCCACAGGGAGUGAAUGGAGUUGCGACGACGCCGGCCGUUGGCAAUCGCCUGGAAGUAGGCCGUGUUGGCGUCGCCCUGAAGCACCCACCGUUGGGUGCCGCGCAACUGCCAGUAGGCCUCCUCGUCAGCAUAGAUGACCGAGAGCUGGUCCUCGAGAUCAUAUCUCAACAUCCACUCAUCCGGGGAGAUCCCGGACGAGUCAGCACGGGCGUCCAGGGCCUGGAUGGCGCUCAAGAGGGCCUUCUUGCGGUCACGGAUAUCACGACCGAGGUUCGCGCCCCAUCCCUUCAUAAAUUGGCGGGCUAGCUUGGCGCAGAACUGCCAGGAGUCCACCGCGGACAUGGCGCGGUGAGGGGAAUUGCGCACGGCGGUCCACUUAGCCGCAACAGCCUCGCGGAACCCGGCCUGGUUGAGCCAGAAGAGCUCAAACCGGAACCGAGGGGGGAUGGGGGCGUUCAUCAGCAGAGGAGAGGAGAAGAGGAACAUGAUCAGAGCCGAUCCUGGUAAUAGCCUGAACCGAGGCCAGGGGCAUCUGAGCUCCCAUUCCGGGGAAACUAAGACGCGGUCAAGGACAGACUACGUCGGGUUCGCCUGGCGGUUAGUCCAGGUGAACCGGGCCCCCGUGCGCUCGAGCUCAUGGAGGCCCAGCUCCGCGAUGCAGUCGUUAAACAUCUGCAUCCGGGGGCGAUUAACCCGGUCAUUGUUCUUCUCAUCCGGGGAGCGGAUGAGGUUAAAGUCACCUCCCACCACAACAGGGAGGGGGGAAGCGGAGAUCUUCUGCUGCAGCUCGGCGAGGAAGGUCGGGGAGCGGCUGUGGUCUGCCGGUCCAUAGACGAUGAUGACCUCCCAUUUAAAGUUGAGCGCACGCUCGAAGAUCUCCAUACUAACGAAGAACUCGCCCCGAUCCAUACCUCCCACCUCAAAGGUGGCAUCCUUAACACCUAAGAGGAUGCCACCCGAGUGGCCAUUGUUCCCACUAGAAGGGAGCCAAUGCCAGGCGAAUAGGUGGGAGCUAAGGUUGUCAAGCUCGGAAAGACAGAAAUCCAUGCGCAUGGUUUCUUGGAUGGCAAUGAUGUCGAUGUGCUCGUCACGGAUGUACUCAACUAGCUGGCGGCGGCGGCCGUCAUGGCCGAAGCCGCGGAUGUUCCAGAAGAGGGCACGCAUCUAAACCGCCAUUGAGGGGUUGCUUGACCCCAAGAAGGUGGAAGCACUGUGGGCUCUAAGAGCGGCAGUGCGAGAUCGAGUGCGACCACGGAUUUCCUCGACCGGCAGCCCAGAUGGGGUCUGGGGUGCCGGGGUGCGGAGGAGGCGGGCCCGGGUUUCGGCGAGUUUCCCGUCAAGGAUCUCGCGAGCCUGGAUAGCCGCAAUCUGCUCUAAGGGGGGACCCACUUCCCCCCUGAAAACUAUAGCCGAGUCUAGGGCCACCUUGGCGAGGCGGCCCAGCGGGAUCGCUUCGAGCGCAGAAAAUGAGCAGACGGAAGAACUGGAGGGGGUGUCGGACGCACCUGUCUCGAGGUUCCGGGCCGCAGCCCGGAUCUCCGCCCGCUCUGAGAUGGACGGAACCGGGAGGCCGGCCGGGCGGUCCGCGUCGAGUCAGGCACUGCGGCAAGAGGCAGUCACCGGAGUCGACGAGGCCCGAGCCCGGCGGACGUACGAAACCGACCGAGGCGGGUGGGAGGCGAUAGGGGUGGCCACAUCAGCGGAGGCCACCAGGAGCAGGCACGGCGGGGACGCUGGAGCCGGUGGCGCCAGCAGGGCACCGGACCCCGCCAAGUCGGGGGAGGGCGGGUCCGGGGUAGGCAGGUCGGCCACCGGGGCGGGAGCGAAAGCCGGUGGAGAGGUGGGAGGUGACGGAGGAUCCUCCCCAGGAGGGUCAGCCGGGGCAGACCCAAGGGGGGCGGGAUCCAACGCCGGCGAGCCCGACAGCAGCGGAGAGGCCACCGUCGGGGGCGGAGGUGGCGGGGUGGCCUCGGUGGAGAGGCACGGCGAGCGCGGCGAAGAUGCCGGGAGGACGAGGAGACUGACGCUGGAGAAGUCGCUGAGCUCGGCCGAAGAGGAGGGGGAGGAGUCGGGCAGCGCGGCGGGGGCCGCCUCGACGGAGGCCAACCCCCGCGACCGGCCCGCUCCCGAAUGCCCGCGCCCCGGAGGGGGUCCGAAGGGACGGGCGAGGGGGAGCGGCUGCGGCCUGAGCGCUCAUCGUCGUCCUCUGGGUCCUCGUGGCGGGAGGGGCGCGGACGGCGGUAGUGGGAGUCGUCGCGGUGGUCCGCGCUUCCCCCGGCAAAGUGGUCCUCAGUGAAGCGCCGGGGGCGGCCGAUGUGGUUGGGAGGCUCGGGGUAGAUCUUGAGGUCGAAACCCUGGUCGUUGAAGAAGACUCGGACGGUUGCACGGAGGGUGGAGGAGUCCAGGCACUUGACCUUGACACGGGCCUCCUCCUCCUUGCGGAGAGAGAGCUCGUCCACCACCACCACCUUGCCCAGGAGCUUGGACAUAUUGCGGAUCACCUUCUCAGAGCGAGCAAUGUCGGGGAGGCCAGCGAUGAGGAUCCAAGCAGUAUCCAGCACGGCCACAGCCUUGGGGUCCAUCAGGGGCUCAGAGAUGUUGACGACGAGCUUGUUGAGGGCGAGGGUGAUGUCGUCGCUACGGGUGCAGAGGCCUAGGCUAAGGGCGUCGGGGAAGACCACGGUGAAGGAGCUGUCCGAGGUCGGAGUCACUUGCCAGUCCCAGACACGGCGGCAGAGGUGGUUAAGCUCGGCCUCGAUCAUCUCCGGUGAGGCGACCCCGCCCCCACAAUGGUCAUGACCACAAGGAGUGACGGGGAUGGGGGAGGGACGUCCUCGACCUCGAUGUGGAAGAAGCCGAGACCCUCAAUGCCGUGGCCAUACAUCAUGAGCUCCUCCGACACCGGGCGGUCCGGGCAGAGGGCCGCGGGGUGGCCCGAGCCCUUGCAGAGGUAGCACAUCGGCGGGUUGGGGCACUCGAUCUGGUAGUGGCCGGCAAUACCACAGUUGAAGCACGGCGGGGGAUCGNNNNNNNNNNNNNNNNNNNNNNNNNNNNNNNNNNNNNNNNNNNNNNNNNNNNNNNNNNNNNNNNNNNNNNNNNNNNNNNNNNNNNNNNNNNNNNNNNNNNNNNNNNNNNNNNNNNNNNNNNNNNNNNNNNNNNNNNNNNNNNNNNNNNNNNNNNNNNNNNNNNNNNNNNNNNNNNNNNNNNNNNNNNNNNNNNNNNNNNNNNNNNNNNNNNNNNNNNNNNNNNNNNNNNNNNNNNNNNNNNNNNNNNNNNNNNNNNNNNNNNNNNNNNNNNNNNNNNNNNNNNNNNNNNNNNNNNNNNNNNNNNNNNNNNNNNNNNNNNNNNNNNNNNNNNNNNNNNNNNNNNNNNNNNNNNNNNNNNNNNNNNNNNNNNNNNNNNNNNNNNNNNNNNNNNNNNNNNNNNNNNNNNNNNNNNNNNNNNNNNNNNNNNNNNNNNNNNNNNNNNNNNNNNNNNNNNNNNNNNNNNNNNNNNNNNNNNNNNNNNNNNNNNNNNNNNNNNNNNNNNNNNNNNNNNNNNNNNNNNNNNNNNNNNNNNNNNNNNNNNNNNNNNNNNNNNNNNNNNNNNNNNNNNNNNNNNNNNNNNNNNNNNNNNNNNNNNNNNNNNNNNNNNNNNNNNNNNNNNNNNNNNNNNNNNNNNNNNNNNNNNNNNNNNNNNNNNNNNNNNNNGCGCGGAGGGGAGCGCCGGGAAUCGCGGGCGGGGGAGCGGGAGCGCCGGGCGUCGCGCGUCGGGGAACGCCGGGGCUCCUGGGAGGUCAGCUGGCGACGGAGGUCAGCCUCCCGGUGGUGGCCGUCCGGCGAGGCGCGGGAGGUCGCACGGGACUCCUCGAGGGGGCGCUUGGGGCGCCCAGAGCCAUCUCCCCAUUCCCGCGUCAUGGGGAUGGGCGGAGGGCCCGCGGCGGGAGGUGGGGACGGAGGGGGCGACGGGGGCGGGAGGAGGGAGCAGGAGGAUGCAGAUGAGGAGCGGGCGCGGGGGGAGGAGGCGGCUGGAGGGGAAACCCUCGCGGGAGCCAAAUCCUCCCCCAGUCGGGGCUGGGGUGGGCCGAGGCCAGCGCUGGGUCCCUAGUGGGCUGGGGCGGUCCAGCCGGCCCAGACAGGUCAGGCGGGCCAGACAGCCGGUGCGGGAAGGGGAGCAGGCCCACUCCAGGCCGCAGGCCCAGAAUCGGGCGGCCCAGCCCAGGGACGGGAACCACGCGCCCGGCUUGGGCAUCCCCAGCCGCCGCCGCGGGUAAGGCGGCCGCCGGCCGACAAGGGGGGGCGAGGCGAGGCAGGGCGACGGGGGGACGUCGAGCAGCACAGUCUUGAGGAGCCGAAGAAAGCAAUGAAGGGGCGAAAGGGGAAGCGCCGGGAGAGCGCGGGGGAGCCGACAACCUGCGGCGCGGCCGGCCGGGCCAGGGCGAGCCGGCCAGAGGAGCACCACGACGAGCGAGCGGGGCCAAAGUCGGCUCGGCCGGCGACACCCAAGCCAGCGUUCCGGCGGCGACGGCGGCCAAUCCCGGGGCCCAAGUCCUUGCCNNNNNNNNNNAGGGGGACGGCGAGGAGGGGGAGGCGGGGAGAGGGGGGCGGCGGGGUCACCAGCGGACGGGGCCGGGAGGGCGGGCGGCGCCGGCGGGAGCAGGGCGGGCGCGUCGCCCCGAGGGGAGCCGGAGUCGCCAGAGCCCGGGCCUUCCAUCUUCAAUUUUGCAGAGCUGUAUGGAUAUAUAUUACAAUGUCCUUGUCCCGAUCAAUGUUUCAUUGAUCGCCGUACGGUGUAGAAUCGACCAGCCAUCCACCUUGGAUACAUUUGGCAUUUUAUUUUCAAAACGCUAUUUUAAAUAUAGCACGCUAUAACUUGUAUAACAUUUGGAGAAGGGCCAUGCUAUUUUUGGUAGCACUCUAUUUUUUAUAUUGGUUCAUAUGCUGCAUAUUGUACGUCAAAUUUAUUCUAGCCCACCAACACCUCAACAAACAACACGCCAGUAAUGUCAUUGCAGAUUCAACAAGAUUAGUUUCCGACCAGGUAACAAUAUUAAUGACAUAAAAGAGAUGAUAGGCUCAAAAUUUUAAGAAAAAAAUCUUGUGAUCUUUCUAUUAAACUUAUGGAGAUUAUAGAGUUAACUUCCAAAAUGUUAAUUGUCAAGCCAUAUAGUACAAUUUAGCUUCGAUAUUACUUCAGCGCUGGUAUUCAGUGUAGGCUGCAACAGGGUACCGAUGACCAUUCCUGGGUUUAAUGUAAAUAUUUUAAGCCAUUAUCAUUUAAGACACAUCUGAACUAUUCGGAGUGUUGGUGCUUCGGCUCAGAAUGUACCUUUGACUUUACAGACUCCGUGAACCCACUGAAUUGUGCUAGGCUGCUAGCUAACGUUUUCCAAAAAAAAAAAAAACAUGUGCGUGUGAAAAAUGGCCCCCGUGUAAGUAAGAUCCUAAAUCCACCAUUCAAACCAAGGAGUGAAACCCUCUUGAGCCAUGACUAAUCAAGGCAGUUUUAACCCGCACUCCAAACCCUACGACGAGCAUUUGAUAACUCUACCAAGCAGCGUCAGCAAAUGCGUGUAGACUUGGUGGUGGUAUCGGUUUGAUUCACCUUGCGGCAGAGGGGGCGAGGUGGAUAGGUCUCUCGAGGUGGCGCUGGAGAGGCCUUCGGGCGAAAUCCCGUCUGAAGGAGCGGAGCGCGGGCGAUGCGCUGCGGCGGCGGGGCCGGG
rnacentral:lncRNA from 1 species